CCGAGAAACUGUGCAAGAAAAAUAUCGUGAUGGCGUUUAUGUGCUACACCCCCAGUACCGCACAAGUGAGCCGAUUAAAGCCGAUGUCCUUUUCAUUCAUGGCCUGAUGGGAGCAGCAUUUAGAACGUGGCGCCAGCAGGACUGUGAUCAGGUUUUAAUUGAAAAGGCGUCUGAGGAUGAAGAUAGGUAUACGACGUGUUGGCCCAAGACAUGGUUAGCAAGAGACUGUCCUGCUCUUCGAAUUAUAUCUGUGGAGUAUGACACAAGCCUUAGUGACUGGAGAGCAAGAUGCCCAAUGGAAA